rnacentral:siRNA from 1 species
GAGGAGGUUGCCAUAGCCGCC